GGCCCCAUCAUCUAGUGGCCUAGGAUGCGAGGUUCUCAGCCUCGUCACCGGGGUUCGAAUCCCCGUGGGGUCACCA
rnacentral:tRNA from 1 species